UUUGGCAGCGAGCCAUUCGGGGGCGCAGCUAUCGCCAUCUGAUGUUAGAAGUAGGAUACAAGUAGCUCAUCAAGGUAAUUGCUAAUGAAACUUUUAAAAGGAUUUGUUUGGUUAAGGGUCGUGUGAAUAUUUGUCUAUGGAAUAGUCUCAUUCAUGUUAUAACUUCACUUCUCUAUAUUCUAGAAUCACUGAGUCAAUGGUGUCUGAUAUACAUUUAUGUAGUAAUUCACCUGCUGACUAAGAUGAUGUAAGAAAGCAAUGUAGAAUGCUAUGGCUAUUUUUAUUCAAUUGUAAAUUUAAAUGUGGUCUUCAACCUUAGUUUGUUUUCCUUAUGCUUUUUGUUGCUAAAAUUCCAUUUGCGACAUGUGGUCUAACAGGGCUAUGGUGAAUUAAUAACUGUUGGUCAAGCAUUUUGAUGGAUAUAUCUUUAUUUAAGGUUAGACUUCGAUAGUAUUUGUUUUCUGGAGCGACAUUCUGGUUUGAACAUAACUCUUUCAUCCAAUGUCAAAACUAACUAAGAGCUUUUUAUUGCUGUAUUUCAGGUGGGUCAAGCUCAUGCUUACAAUGGUGAAGUUGUCCUUUCAUCAUUAAAAAAAUUUGUAAGUUAAUCUUGGAAACACUCGUAAAUACCCUUUCCAGCAUAAGUGGUUAGUCUUCUGUUGAGAGUAGCCCUGCCACCUAAGUUGCAC
rnacentral:lncRNA from 1 species